GCCCACAGCAAUAAUGGAAAAAUGCUUUUAUUCUUUUGAUUUAAUAUACGAUAUACACACGUCAGAGUGUGAAAGAGCAUGAUUCGACAUCUCAAAACGCAGACACCACAUCCUGUGAAUUCAAGUUGGUACUUCCUAGAACACAGCUAUCUGUCGAUGAUGAGAGAAGGAGGUUCAUCUUGACUUGAAAAAUGAAAGACUUAGCACUGAUAUUAGUAUGUGGCAUCCUUCUUGUUGCUGGAAAUAUGUCCAUUGAUUUGUUAUAUGAGGAGGAUUAUAGUGAUGAUGGUGAUGAUGAGGAUUAUGACAGUUCCGGCUUCGAAAUCAGUCACAUUGAAGACAAACCAAACUCCCCCUCUCCCUUAUUCCCUCCUCAAGCCAGUGGGACUACUGGCCGAACCGCAGAGAAAACUGGAGGCUUGCUCACCCUCUUCUUUGUCUUUUGGAACAACUGGUGUUAGCUACAGGAACUCUAAAGCACAGGGUGUGUGACACUGCCUCUUAAUCCUGCCUCAAUAAACAUAAAGUGUGUUAAACAAAUAGGUUAAACACAGACAACAUUGUCUCUUUGAAGAAUGUAGAAGUUGUACGGGAGAUGUUUCAUGUUAGACCACUGCACUGCAACAGAUAUAGUAACACUUUCACAAGGUGAGGCUGUGAAACGAAACCCAAAAGUCAACUGAGACCAAAAGGAACUCUGGAACUCCUUUCAGCAAGAACUUUUCUAGAACACAUCACACCUGGACAGAAUUUACAAAAUGGACACUUAGAUCAGAAAAGGGUUCCAAUCAUAUGUAUGUCAAUGAGGCCCUAACCCAGUCACAGUUCACAUAUCCUGUGUAUGUGUGACUUAGUUGUGUGUAUUCUUGGUCUUGGGAAAUCCUUGGUGUUAAGUUUCACGUCUGAUAGCUGGGCAAUCUAGCCCAAAACAUUAUAAAAUGUCACAAUAAAUGUCACAAUGUUUAUCACGCUAAAAAUCAGUCCAUAUUGAUCAUAAUAGAUCAUUAACCUGUGAUUAUU
ensembl:lncRNA